GGGGACGGUCCUGCCGGGAGGAGGCGGAGGGAGGACAGGGUCGGGUUGCGGGCCCGGCACCGCCCCUCUCGGCUCCUGGCUCCCCUCGCCUGGUGUCCCGCGCCUGGCCGGGAGGCGGCGGGUCUCGAUCGCGCGGGCCUCCCUGGAGGGGCGCAGGCUUUGGCGGUGGGGCUGGACCCUGCUCAGCGCAGUGGCGGGCUUGCAUCCUUGGGUGAUUUUUUCGGGCCCCUUGUGGCCUUUGCUCACGCCUGGAGAGCAAACCACCCGCACCACCCAGGAGCAGAUAAAAUCGAGACCACGGUCUCCAAAGGAGCGCGCCUCUAUCCUGUUUGCCCCUCGGGUCGCCGUCUAAGGGCGGGCCCGUGUCCGCUCAGAGCCUACAUCCGAGUCGUAUAAAGCGCUGACAGCAGAGAAAGCUGCGGCUUUGCUCCGUGCAGAUGAACAGGGGCUGAGGGAGGACGCUGUGCUCUCAGUAGCCGCGUUCGGCCCGUGGACCCUGCAGGCUUAGAAACGUGAGUCACGCCUGCAGCGUGGCGAGGAAACGCCGUUGAUGUGGCAUCCUCAGCCUGGGGUUGUGGCUCUAAGCCAGAAGGUUAAAAAAAGAAGUCUUCCUGAGCUGGGACUGCCCUGAGUCGCUCUAGGGGCGAAAUUCUGAGCAUCCGAUUGCAUUUCCUGAGGACGACAGGCGUGGUGGGUGUGGACGGCCUGCAGGGGUCCGUCCUCAGCGGUCCCUCUGCAGGGCAGAGUCUCGCUCUCACCCUCCCAGCUGACUCCUCUCAAGCCCGUUAACCACUGUACACGUUCCCAAGGACUCCAAGCAGGUUGGACUUCAGGGAACAUUGCAGUUUGGGUCUUGGCCAUUGUUUACACUCCACCUUGCAUAAGUGCUUGAGGAUCACACAACCAGAUACGUAGAUCAUCCGUAGAUCAUCGCAGUCACAUCGAAGAUUUGUUUAUAAUAGGAAAAAAAAAAAAGCUGCCCGCUGUCAUGCGCUGGGAAACUGGUGAGCUUCUGAAGGAUGACCCAUCUGUAAAUGGGGUGCUCCCUAAUAGACAGGGCACCCUUCAGAAGCCUGUGCUGUGUCUCCUCGACCCCACUGUGAGCUCCCCGUCCCGCACACUAAUCUAAAUCAAGCUGCUAACCUCAUGGAGAGGCAUCCACACGGCAGCCCCGGCCCUGAGAUGCAGGGCAGUCACCCAUUCAAUUAGGAAACACCAGCAAGUGCCAGAAGCUUCUCAUUAGCAGGUCAGCUUUCAAUAACUGGUUUAUCCAGGUGUGUGAGACCCGAUAAGCAGAAGGGAAAGCUGUUAGCGACCUAUCCAGCUGCUCUACACUGGGCUCCUGACAUCCCAGAAAUCAGUACAUCUGUCUUCUGGGGUCCAAGAGGUAUUUCAAUUUCUCUGGCUUUGUUUCCUAUCAUUUCUACCCGGCCCUGCAGACUACCCCAGUAUUUCCAUCGUAAUACUCCUGUGGGCAGGUGCAUACCUCAUGACAAUAUUUAAUAUUAAUAGAUUUCUGUGUUGUCUCCAGAAUGGAAAGGGGCUAUCUAUUCCUUGAGCUAGUUGGCUUGCUAAAGACUAUUGACUUCAUCUUCUUUUCCUAUCUACCUAAUAAACCAGUGUUAAUACAA
rnacentral:lncRNA from 1 species